GGGGGCGCAAAAUUCCAGUGACCGGCAGGAGGGAAGUGCUCCCUCCUGCCAGGUCACCUCCUGGAUCCCCGGCGCGGCGUGCGGCUGAACUGGAUGCCGAGGGAGCUCUGAUCUCUCUGAUGUGCUCCCUCGCAGGCUGCUUACUGAUGACGUCAUAUUCCGGCUCCCGCGGCAUCAGUCAGCAGCCUGCGAGGGAGCAGAUCAGAGAGAUCAGAGCUCCCUCUCCACCUCGGAUUCCAAUUCAGCCGCACGCCUCCCAGCAGCCCCACUGGACCACCAAUGAGAGACCCACGCCAGCUCUCCAGGUAGGGAGGCUGGGUGGGAAAUUUAAAUUUAAUUAAGAUUAUUAAUUUCUGUGUGUGUGUGUACAUGUGAGUAUGUGUGUCUGUCAGUGUGUGUGUGAGUAUGUGUGUCUGUCAGUGUGUGUGUGUGCAUGUGAGUAUGUCUGUCAGUGUGUGUGUGAGUAUGUGUGUCUGUCAGUGUGUGUGUGUGCAUGUGAGUAUGUCUGUCAGUGUGUGUGUGAGUAUGUGUGUCUGUCAGUGUGUGUGUGAGUAUGUGUGUCUGUCAGUGUGUGUGUGUGUGUGUGUGUGUGUGUGUGCAUGUGAGUAUGUGUGUCUGUCAGUGUGUGUGUGUGCAUGUGAUGUCUGUCAGUGUGUGUGUGAGUAUGUGUGUCUGUCAGUGUGUGUGUGUGUGUGUGUGUGUGUGUGUGUGUGCAUGUGAGUAUGUGUGUCUGUCAGUGUGUGUGUGUGCAUGUGGUGUGUCUGUCAGUGUGUGUGUGUAUGUGUGUCUGUCUGUGUGUGUGUGUAUGUGUGUCUGUCAGUGUGUGUGUGUGCAUGUGAGUAUGUCUGUCAGUGUGUGUGUGAGUAUGUGUGUCUGUCAGUGUGUGUGUGAGUAUGUGUGUCUGUCAGUGUGUGUGUGUGAGUAUGUGUGUCUGUCAGUGUGUGUGUGCAUGUGAGUAUGUGUGUGUGUGUGUGUGUGUGCUGUCAGUGUGUGUGAGUAUGUGUGUCUGUCAGUGUGUGUGUGCAUGUGAGUAUGUGUGUGUGAGUGUGUGUGUCUGUGAGUUUGUGUGUGUGUGUGGUUCUGUCAGUGUGUGUGUGAGUAUGUGUGUCUGUCAGUAUGUGCAUGUGUGCAUGUGAGUACGUGUGUCUGUCAGUGUCUGUGAGUUUGUGUGUGUGUGUGUCAGUGUGUGUUUUUCAAUGAGUCUGUCAGUGUGCGUGUGAGUGUCUGUCAAUGAAUGAGUGUGUCAGAUAAGUGAGUCUGGCUGUCAGAGAUGUCUGUGUGUUUGUCAUUGAGUGUGUGUGACUGUCAGUGUUUAUACACCCCUGACUGUAGCGUGGCCAAGCGGAGUGUACCGUGGUACAGGAACU